rnacentral:tRNA from 1 species
GUCUCCAUCGUCUAGUUCGGAUUAGGACAUCGCCCUUUCACGGCGGUAACAGGGGUUCAAAUCCCCUUGGAGACG